rnacentral:rRNA from 1 species
UUAAAUUGAAGAGUUUGAUCAUGGCUCAGAUUGAACGCUGGCGGCAGGCCUAACACAUGCAAGUCGAACGGUAACAGGAAGCAGCUUGCUGCUUUGCUGACGAGUGGCGGACGGGUGAGUAAUGUCUGGGAAACUGCCUGAUGGAGGGGGAUAACUACUGGAAACGGUGGCUAAUACCGCAUAACGUCGCAAGACCAAAGAGGGGGACCUUCGGGCCUCUUGCCAUCAGAUGUGCCCAGAUGGGAUUAGCUUGUUGGUGAGGUAACGGCUCACCAAGGCGACGAUCCCUAGCUGGUCUGAGAGGAUGACCAGCCACACUGGAACUGAGACACGGUCCAGACUCCUACGGGAGGCAGCAGUGGGGAAUAUUGCACAAUGGGCGCAAGCCUGAUGCAGCCAUGCCGCGUGUAUGAAGAAGGCCUUCGGGUUGUAAAGUACUUUCAGCGGGGAGGAAGGUGUUGUGGUUAAUAACCGCAGCAAUUGACGUUACCCGCAGAAGAAGCACCGGCUAACUCCGUGCCAGCAGCCGCGGUAAUACGGAGGGUGCAAGCGUUAAUCGGAAUUACUGGGCGUAAAGCGCACGCAGGCGGUCUGUCAAGUCGGAUGUGAAAUCCCCGGGCUCAACCUGGGAACUGCAUUCGAAACUGGCAGGCUUGAGUCUUGUAGAGGGGGGUAGAAUUCCAGGUGUAGCGGUGAAAUGCGUAGAGAUCUGGAGGAAUACCGGUGGCGAAGGCGGCCCCCUGGACAAAGACUGACGCUCAGGUGCGAAAGCGUGGGGAGCAAACAGGAUUAGAUACCUUGGUAGUCCACGCCGUAAACGAUGUCUACUUGGAGGUUGUGCCCUUGAGGCGUGGCUUCCGGAGCUAACGCGUUAAGUAGACCGCCUGGGGAGUACGGCCGCAAGGUUAAAACUCAAAUGAAUUGACGGGGGCCCGCACAAGCGGUGGAGCAUGUGGUUUAAUUCGAUGCAACGCGAAGAACCUUACCUGGUCUUGACAUCCACGGAAGUUUUCAGAGAUGAGAAUGUGCCUUCGGGAACCGUGAGACAGGUGCUGCAUGGCUGUCGUCAGCUCGUGUUGUGAAAUGUUGGGUUAAGUCCCGCAACGAGCGCAACCCUUAUCCUUUGUUGCCAGCGAUUCGGUCGGGAACUCAAAGGAGACUGCCAGUGAUAAACUGGAGGAAGGUGGGGAUGACGUCAAGUCAUCAUGGCCCUUACGACCAGGGCUACACACGUGCUACAAUGGCGCAUACAAAGAGAAGCGACCUCGCGAGAGCAAGCGGACCUCAUAAAGUGCGUCGUAGUCCGGAUUGGAGUCUGCAACUCGACUCCAUGAAGUCGGAAUCGCUAGUAAUCGUGGAUCAGAAUGCCACGGUGAAUACGUUCCCGGGCCUUGUACACACCGCCCGUCACACCAUGGGAGUGGGUUGCAAAAGAAGUAGGUAGCUUAACCUUCGGGAGGGCGCUUACCACUUUGUGAUUCAUGACUGGGGUGAAGUCGUAACAAGGUAACCGUAGGGGAACCUGCGGUUGGAUCACCUCCUUACCUGAAAGAAGC